rnacentral:misc_RNA from 1 species
GAAAUGCGAUAAGUAAUGCGAAUUGCAGAAUUUAGUGAAUCAUCGAAUCUUUGAACGCACAUUGCGCCCGCCAGAAAUGCUGGCGGGCAUGCCUGUCCGAGCGUCAUUUCGACCGUCAAGCCCCACGGGCUUUUGUGUUGGGGAACUACGCGCAGCGUCGUAGGCCCUGAAAACCAGUGGCGGGCUCGCUAUCACCCGAGCGUAGUAGUGGUCAACGUUCUCGCUCAGGGCGUCCUGCGGGCACCGGCCGUUAAAACCUCCCCCGCGGAUCUCCCAGAGGUUGACCUCGGAUCAGGUAGGAAUACCCGCUGAACUUAA